UAGGGAAUCUUCCACAAUGGACGCAAGUCUGAUGGAGCAACGCCGCGUGAGUGAAGAAGGUUUUCGGAUCGUAAAGCUCUGUUGUUGGUGAAGAAGGAUAGAGGCAGUAACUGGUCUUUAUUUGACGGUAAUCAACCAGAAAGUCACGGCUAACUACGUGCCAGCAGCCGCGGUAAUACGUAGGUGGCAAGCGUUGUCCGGAUUUAUUGGGCGUAAAGCGAGCGCAGGCGGAAUGAUAAGUCUGAUGUGAAAGCCCACGGCUCAACCGUGGAACUGCAUCUGAAACUGUCAUUCUUGAGUGCAGAAGAGGAGAGUGGAAUUCCAUGUGUAGCGGUGGAAUGCGUAGAUAUAUGGAAGAACACCAGUGGCGAAGGCGGCUCUCUGGUUUGCAACUGACGCUGAGGCUCGAAAGCAUGGGUAGCGAACAGG
rnacentral:rRNA from 1 species